rnacentral:rRNA from 1 species
GUAUUUUAACCGUGCGAAGGUAGCGUAAUCACCUGUCUUUUAAAUGAAGACCUGUAUGAAUGGCACAACGAGGGCUAUACUGUCUCCUUUCUCUAGUCAAUGAAAUUGAUCUGCCCGUGCAGAAGCGGGCAUAUGCCCAUAAGACGAGAAGACCCUAUGGAGCUUCAGACGCUAAAGCAACCCACGUUGAAACUCUGAACCACCAGAACUAAACUACCGGGACCUGCUUAUUUGUCUUUGGUUGGGGCGACCGCGGGGAAAAAUCGAACCUCCGCAUGGAACGAGAGCAGCCCUCUAAGGUAAGGCCCACAGGCCUCACCCCCAGAAAAUCUGACCAAAAGAUCCGGCAACGCCGAUCAACGGACCCAGUUACCCUAGGGAUAACAGCGCAAUCCCCUUUUAGAGUCCCCAUCGACAAGGGGGUUUACGACCUCGAUGUUGGAUCAGGACCUCCUAAUGGUGCAACCGCUAUUAAGGGUUCGUUUGUUCAACGAUUAAAGUCCU